GAUGAACGCUGGCGGCGUGCCUAAUACAUGCAAGUCGAGCGAAGCGGGGACGGGUGAGUAACACGUGGAGAACCUCCUAUAAGACUGGGAUCACUUCGGGAAACCGGAGCUAAACCGGAUACGUAAAGAUGGAUCAGCGCUGCAGUAGCGAGUUGGUAAGGUAACGGCUUACCAAGGCAACGAUGCAUAGCCGACCUGGGAGGGGGAUCGGCCACCCUGAAGCCGAGCCACUGUCCAGACUCGUACGGGGGGCAGCAGUAGGGAUUCGUCCGCAAUGGGCGAAAGCCUGACGGAGCAACGCCGCGUGAGUGAUGAAGGUCUUCGGACCGUAAAUCUCUGUUAUUAGUGAAGCGGUACCUAAUCAGAAAGCCCCGGCUAACUACGUGCCAGCAGCCGCGGUAAUUC
rnacentral:rRNA from 1 species